AUUGAACGCUGGCGGCAUGCCUUACACAUGCCAGUCGAACGGUAACAGGCCGCUUGCUCCUGACGUGUGGGGCGCGGGGGUGUAUAGUGCCUGAACGUCUGCCUGGUUGUGGGGUAUAAAGUCCGGAGACUAGCUCAAAUCGCACACGAGCUCUGGGUGAAAGCGUGGGAGCGUAUGGCACCUCGCGAUUUGAGCUGCCCCUAUGUCAGAUUAGCUAGUUGGUGGGGUAAAGGCCUACCAAGACCACGAUCCGUAUCUGGUCUGAGAGGAUGAUCAGUCACACUGGAACUGAGACACGGCCCAGACUCCUACGGGAGGCAGCAGUGGGGAAUUUUGGACAAUGGGCGAAAGCCUGAUCCAGCCAUGCCGCGUGUAGGAAGAAGGUCUUCGGAUUGUAAACUGCUUUAAGAUGGGAGGAAGCGGAGUUAGUUAAUACCCUGCGGUAAUGACGUUACCAAAAGAAUAAGCACCGGCUAACUACGUG
rnacentral:rRNA from 1 species